UGGGGAAUAUUGCACAAUGGGCGCAAGCCUGAUGCAGCCAUGCCGCGUGUAUGAAGAAGGCCUUCGGGUUGUAAAGUACUUUCAGUCGGGAGGAAGGUGGUAAGGUUAAUAACCUUAUCAAUUGACGUUACCGACAGAAGAAGCACCGGCUAACUCCGUGCCAGCAGCCGCGGUAAUACGGAGGGUGCAAGCGUUAAUCGGAAUUACUGGGCGUAAAGAGCACGCAGGCGGUUGAUUGAGUCAGAUGUGAAAUCCCCGGGCUCAACCUGGGAACUGCAUCUGAUACUGGCAAGCUUGAGUCUCGUAGAGGGGGGUAGAAUUCCAGGUGUAGCGGUGAAAUGCGUAGAGAUCUGGAGGAAUACCGGUGGCGAAGGCGGCCCCCUGGACGAAGACUGACGCUCAGGUGCGAAAGCGUGGGGAGCAAACAGG
rnacentral:rRNA from 1 species